rnacentral:rRNA from 1 species
UACAGAGGGUGCGAGCGUUAAUCGGAAUUACUGGGCGUAAAGCGUGCGUAGACGGUUACGUAAGUCGGAUGUGAAAUCCCCGGGCUCAACCUGGGAAUUGCAUUCGAGACUGUGUAGCUGGGGUGCGGAAGAGGGAAGCGGAAUUUCCGGUGUAGCGGUGAAAUGCGUAGAUAUCGGAAGGAACAUCAGUGGCGAAAGCGGCUUCCUGGUCCAGCACCGACGUUCGGGCACGAAAGCGUGGGGAGCAAACAGG